rnacentral:rRNA from 2 species
CAGAUCGGUGGCAGGGAGCGUAAUAAUGCAAGUCGAACGAACUCUGGUAUUGAUUGGUGCUUGCAUCAUGAUUUACAUUUGAGUGAGUGGCGAACUGGUGAGUAACACGUGGGAAACCUGCCCAGAAGCGGGGGAUAACACCUGGAAACAGAUGCUAAUACCGCAUAACAACUUGGACCGCAUGGUCCGAGCUUGAAAGAUGGCUUCGGCUAUCACUUUUGGAUGGUCCCGCGGCGUAUUAGCUAGAUGGUGGGGUAACGGCUCACCAUGGCAAUGAUACGUAGCCGACCUGAGAGGGUAAUCGGCCACAUUGGGACUGAGACACGGCCCAAACUCCUACGGGAGGCAGCAGUAGGGAAUCUUCCACAAUGGACGAAAGUCUGAUGGAGCAACGCCGCGUGAGUGAAGAAGGGUUUCGGCUCGUAAAACUCUGUUGUUAAAGAAGAACAUAUCUGAGAGUAACUGUUCAGGUAUUGACGGUAUUUAACCAGAAAGCCACGGCUAACUACGUGCCAGCAGCCGCGGUAAUACGUAGGUGGCAAGCGUUGUCCGGAUUUAUUGGGCGUAAAGCGAGCGCAGGCGGUUUUUUAAGUCUGAUGUGAAAGCCUUCGGCUCAACCGAAGAAGUGCAUCGGAAACUGGGAAACUUGAGUGCAGAAGAGGACAGUGGAACUCCAUGUGUAGCGGUGAAAUGCGUAGAUAUAUGGAAGAACACCAGUGGCGAAGGCGGGCUGUCUGGUCUGUAACUGACGCUGAAGCUCGAAAGUAUGGGUAGCAAACCGGAUUAUAAACCCCUGGUAGUCCACAACCGUAAACGAUGAAUGCUAAAUGUUUGAAG